GAUGAACGCUGGCGGCGUGCUUAACACAUGCAAGUCGAACGAACCUUCGGGUUAGUGGCGGACGGGUGAGUAACGCGUGGGAAUCUGCCCUCAGGAGGGGGAUAACGGCUGGAAACGGCCGCUAAUACCCCAUAUGCCGAGAGGUGAAAGGAAUUUCGCCUGAGGAUGAGCCCGCGUCUGAUUAGCUAGUUGGUGGGGUAAGAGCCUACCAAGGCGACGAUCAGUAGCUGGUCUGAGAGGAUGAUCAGCCACACUGGGACUGAGACACGGCCCAGACUCCUACGGGAGGCAGCAGUGGGGAAUUUUCCGCAAUGGGCGAAAGCCUGACGGAGCAACGCCGCGUGAGGGAUGAAGGCCUCUGGGCUGUAAACCUCUUUUCUCAAGGAAGAAGAACUGACGGUACUUGAGGAAUAAGCCACGGCUAAUUCCGUGCCAGCCGCCGCCGUAAGAC
rnacentral:rRNA from 1 species